rnacentral:rRNA from 1 species
AACGAACGCUGGCGGCAGGCCUAACACAUGCAAGUCGAACGUGAAGCCACCUUCGGGUGGUGGAAAGUGGCAGACGGGUGAGUAACGCGUGGGAACGUGCCUUUCGGUUCGGGAUAACCC